rnacentral:rRNA from 1 species
AACGAACGCUGGCGGCGCGUCUUAAGCAUGCAAGUCGAACGGCAAGAGAAGAGCUUGCUCUUCUCCUAGAGUGGCGGACUGGUGAGUAACACGUGGGUGAUCUACCCUUGAGAUGGGGAUAGCCGUUAGAAAUAGCGGGUAAUACCGAAUACCCUCACGUUCAUAAAGGGAUGUGAGGAAAGGAAGCUACGGCUUCGCUCGAGGAUGAGCCUGCGUCCCAUUAGCUAGUUGGUGAGGUAAAGGCCCACCAAGGCGACGAUGGGUAUCCGGCCUGAGAGGGUGAUCGGACACAUUGGGACUGAGAUACGGCCCAAACUCCUACGGGAGGCAGCAGCUAAGAAUAUUCCGCAAUGGACGGAAGUCUGACGGAGCGACGCCGCGUGGAUGAAGAAGGCUGAAAAGUUGUAAAAUCCUUUUGCUGAUGAAGAAUAAGGGUAGGAGGGAAUGCCUAUCUGAUGACGGUAAUCGGCGAAUAAGCCCCG